AUUGAACGCUGGCGGCAUGCUUUACACAUGCAAGUCGAACGGUAACAGGCCGCAAGGUGCUGACGAGUGGCGGACGGGUGAGUAAUGCAUCGGAACGUGCCCAGUCGUGGGGGAUAACUACUCGAAAGAGUAGCUAAUACCGCAUACGAUCUAUGGAUGAAAGCGGGGGACCGUAAGGCCUCGCGCGAUUGGAGCGGCCGAUGUCAGAUUAGGUAGUUGGUGGGGUAAAGGCUCACCAAGCCAACGAUCUGUAGCUGGUCUGAGAGGACGACCAGCCACACUGGGACUGAGACACGGCCCAGACUCCUACGGGAGGCAGCAGUGGGGAAUUUUGGACAAUGGGCGCAAGCCUGAUCCAGCAAUGCCGCGUGCAGGAAGAAGGCCUUCGGGUUGUAAACUGCUUUUGUACGGAACGAAACGGCUCUGGUUAAUACCCGGGGCUAAUGACGGUACCGUAAGAAUAAGCGCCGGCUAACUACGUG
rnacentral:rRNA from 1 species